rnacentral:lncRNA from 1 species
UCCCGAAGUCUCGCGAGGGUAGGAGCGCGUCGGUAUUUUGCGGACAACUAGCUCUCCCAGCUGCUGUAAUUGCUGCUGCGGGAGAAAUUGGAGCUGCUGUCGCCGGCACGCCCGCCCUCCCCCACUGAGAAGAGCCACCGCCUCUUCUCCUGCGCUCCUUAUACACCUAUCGCCGGGAGCGGCGGCAGCAACAGUCCUUGGACUCACUGCCGCCUCCUCAGACAGCCGCUCUGCGGUUCAUUCCCGCAGCCCGGCAACUGAGGGCGGCCCCCUUUCCCUAGCCGGCUUCUCACUCCAGAUCGUUUGCUCCCUCCUUAACCUCGCCUGGGACCCACCUCCCCAUAGUCUCGUCGAGGUGGAGGACGAAGAGGAGGAGACGGGAGAGUCACCCUUCCUCCGUGCCGGCCCCCUCACCCGCGGGUGUGUCCUAUAAAUGGCGUCGGAAAGCGACACCGAGGAAUUCUAUGAUGCCCCUGAAGAUGUGCACCCUGUAGGGUAAGUAACGAAGCUAUAUGGCCCAAAAGCCGGGCAUCCCAGUGCCCUGGCUUCUCCUGUGCUUUCCCCUACACCCCUCCCAGGUCCCGCUGUGUCCGCCACUGCUGUUCCUCUCAGUCUCACUUCAGCACUUCAGAGCCCAGAUCUGGGGCUCCUUAGGGUAGGGUAAGUUGGAGAAGGAAGAAUCGUCCGCCUCGGGCACCUCUCGCCCCUUUCCUUAAAGAACAGCCCGGGUGCUCGCUCGGAUCCCCUGUCUCGUCAUAUUCAACCUUCUUUGAGUGGGACAGUUUACGUGCUUGAGAACCGGAGAUUUCUAUUUGUGGGGUUCAGACUUACCUUUUUCAAACAUCCGCUUUGGCCUCGGGGACCAUAGAUUAAAGGAGCGGUAACAGGAGAAAUUGCACUUCCCAAUUUUUUUUUCUUUUACCGCUACCUUACCUAUUGGUGUCAGAGAUAGCUGUAACUCUUACCUACUUGCUGUCCACUUUUUCUUGCACAGAAAAGGAGUGGAGGAAAGAUUGGCUAUUUACUUAAGGAAGUCCUUUAGCCGAGACAUUCUGAAUCAACAGUGUUUUACUAAAAUAGCACCUUACAGUGAGGCAAACGGAAUCAAAGACAAGACCUUUACCAUUGGGGAGAAGGAUGUGAUCUAAAAGGGGAGCCGGACAUAAAUGUAUACAACAGAUUAUAGAGGUACAAACAAGUGCUGAGUAAUCUGGUGCUUGGACCGGGAGCCCCAGCAUUGUGCCCUUUAUCUAAUUUUGCAAGAUGUUUUAGUGGUGAUUAAUAUGGGUGAUUCUGAGUUGAAAGUACAAUAGUUGGAAUACUUCCCUUGACCAGAACUUCUACUUACUUUCCACUCUUCUACUUUUCAAAGUCGAAGUAGUGUUUAAAGCGUUUUUGCCAAACUCUUCUACUAACAUGAGUGGAACUAGGGGCAGUGAAAUAUAUUUUCAUGCUGUAAGAAUUUAGAAUUGGUAAAAUUUGUAUGUUAGUAUAAAUCACAAUAUGGUUCUGGGAGUUCAACAGCCUUCAAUUCUCAUGCUUACCCCGUGGAAGAAAUACCCUGUUUGAUAAAGUUAUCUGUACAUUUUAGAAAUCAUUCUAAAAUCUUUAUUAUACACAACUUAUACCAAAAAACUUACAGCCACAAAAUCAGAAAGAAAUGUAUGUUGGCAGAUUGCAAAUGUGUAUGUUCUCACUAACAUUCAUAUUACUUCACUGUUGUGAGAUUUGGGGAUGGUAAUGCCAGAUCUUGAGAUGACACUGAAUCUCCUUCAAGUUCAAUAUCUGAGACAUGUUCAUAGCUACAUAGUAGAGAAUAAAAAUGCAUUUAAAUUUUCAAAUAUUUUGUAUUACUUUAAAAUUUUUGUGCAUGAUUUUCCCUUCGAAGUAAUGAACUAUCAUUUCAGGUUAAAUGAGAGACUGAAUCCUUUAGUACGUGUGUGUGUUUGAGUGGGGGAAGGAAAUGAUCUGUUUACUUGAUUAUCAAUCUAGAAUUAUGUGGAUAUUAAGUUCAUUGAAUAACUUUAAUCUCAAAGAACAGUUAUUUCAGAACCUAUGUAAACUGUUUAGUCCAGUACUUGGUACAGAAAAGCAUUCAAAUAUUCAUUCCUGUCUUUCUUUCUGGACAUUAGCAAAUUUGUUAUCUUUACACAGUGUUUGCUUUGGGAGGUUGUAUCCAGAACUUGGAAGUAUUGUGAGACAAGCACUCUACCAACUGAGCUACAUCCCAGCCCACUUAUCUAAACUAGAUGACUCAUUUUGAUAGAACUGAUAGUCACUUCCUCCCUCUGGGAUAAUAUAGCUUCUUAAACACUUUGAUACUAGGUGAAAAUAAUAAUAAUAAUAAUAAUAAUAAUAAUAAUAAGUCCUUGGGACUCAGCUUCCUAAUUUUAACUCUAGACUUGCCUAAAAUCUGAGUAUGUUGAAAAAAAUUCUGUUAACAGAAUAUAGGAUCUGUUUGGAUUUCGUGGCUCUGCUGCAUUAGUGAAAGAAUUUGGAAGAAAAUAAACUCAUCUGGAGAAUUACAUCUGAAAAGAACUAGCUGUAUUCAGAGGAGAGAAAGGGGUAGGAUCAUUUACAUUUUCCUCUAUCCUUUGUGGCAGGUUUGUUUGCAUAAGCUACUGUUAGCCCACUUGACCGAAAACUAACUACCUGGAAACUCAGUAAGAAAUCUUGAUUUGUAGAAACAGAAGGCAUCACUCAAUAUGUGGUCAUCAGAAUUAUCUUCUGUCCCUUGAUAUGAACUGGAGUAACACAUCUUACAAACCCUAAGAGAUAAAUAGACUGAAUCUGGACACUUUUAAGAAAUACUCCUUGCUUUGUCUAUUUGGGUACACACAGACCUUUUCUUCAAAUUGUAGUUAACUGAGCAGACAGUUGAGCAUUAUCUCAUGUGUUUUUAUUGAUCAGUGAAAUUCAAGUAUACAGUCCAUUUCCUAAAAAUGUAUUUCUUGCAUUGCCCAUCCAAUAUUGUCUUCAGUUUUGUUAAUCUGCUCUUUGAAAGUAAAUGUAAAAAGUUGAAAAUUAGCAAUUUUUUACAGAAAGAGUUUUGAGUUCAGUACAACAUACUUUUCACAGUGGCAGAUCAUCUCCUCUUGCCCAGGUUUGCAAAAUGUACUAUAUUUAUAAUGCUUUAUUUUGACUGAUACUUUAGGUCUAGUUUCUUUAUUCCUGUCUCUGGUUUUACAAAUAAGGAACCUUAGACUCAGAGAAGUUAAGUGGAUUAUUUUAGGAGAGACAACUUGUAAGUGUCAGAGCUGGGAUUUGAAACCAGCUCUUCAAACUCAUUAGUCCAGAAUUUUUUUCUAGUACAUCAUAGCUUCCUCCAUACUAUGUAUAGAGUGGGGUCAGGGAGAUUCUCCCCAAACAGGUUCUGGGUCAAAUACUUUAGGGCCAACUUGCUGAAUUGAACUGAUGCAUCAGUUUAAAACCAGCAACCCAGAACUAGAGACCCUUAUGUUAAGUAAAAUAAGCCAAACUUAGAAGGUCAGAGGAUAUAUGUAUUCUCUUAUAUGUGGAAGCUAGAGAGGAAAAAGGGGGGGAAAGGUGGGGAAUAGGUGGGAAUCUCAUGAAAAUCAAAGGGAGAUCAGUAGAGGAAAGAGACCACCAUGUGGGAGGAGGGAAGGGAGGGGGGAAGUUCUGGGGAUUGAUAUUGGCUAAAUUAUAUUAUUACAUUCUGUGCAUGUAGGAAUAUGUAACAAAAAUCCUAUCAUUAGGUACAACUGUAAUGAACCAAUAAAAAAUGUGAAAAAAGAAAACCAGCAUCCCAACUAGGUGUGGUGGUGCACACCUGUAAUCCGAGCUGCUAGAGAGUCUGAGGCAGUAGGAUCACAAAUUUGAGACCAAGAUAUGCAAUUUAGCAAGACCUUGUCUCAAAAUUUAACCCGGGGUUUGGCAGGGGAAGCUCAGGAUGCAUCUCAUCCAUAUAGCGCUUGGCUAUGGGUUCAAUCCCCAAAAAUUAAAAAUCAGAAAAAGCCAGUUACAGUGACACACAGCUGUAAUCGCAGUGACUUGGGAGGCUGGGAGGAUCACAAGUUCAAGGCCAGCCUCAGCAACUUAGUGUCUCAAAAAAUUAAAAGGGCUGGAGAUGUAGCUUAUUGUUAAAGUGCCCUGGGUACAAUCUCCAAUACCAAAAAUAAAAUUAAAACCAGCAGCCCAAACUUUUCAGUUCUCUUCACUAGAAAUUCCCACUUUUUCUUUUAGGAAUAUGUAUUUUUGUUAGAAAGGAAUCUUAUAAGAUUAUUUUCUGUUAUUAAAUAGGAGGAACAUCUAGUUAAGCUAUUUCUUAUAAAAUGUGAAAACUUGAAGCCCAUAGAAGGAAAGUGAAUUGUCCAUGGUGCUAUGACAAAUUCAUGGCAGAACCAGGACUAGAACACAGACCAGUUUCACAGUCUGUCAUUUUCUCUGGUAUCAUGGUUAAUACAGCAGGAAAGAAAAGAGGAACUGUGGUAUAGUAGAAAGGAGCUCUGAACUGAGUCAUGUCAUUUCCUCAUCUUUAAAUUGAGAUUACAUUUUGAGAACCCUUCUGACUCUAAAUGCCUGUCAUUAUAUGGAGAUUUGAUAGUGUGCUUUUAUUGAUAAGCUUUUGUUCUUGGAAAUCAUACACACACAACUUUGAGUUUAACAAACUUGAUGUCUUUGGUACAUGAUUCAAGAAAGACCAAUAGAUUUGAAAUUAUUUUUUGGAUAAAUUAUAUAUUAAUUGAUUGCCUCUGCUAAAUCCUGUAGCUUGUAUCUACACAUUCUAAAGGCUGACACUGAGAACAUGUUAUAAAAAUUAAUGUAGCAUUUUCAACACUGUAUUCAGCCAAAAUAUAUUUGAGGCCUCAGAAAAGGGAAUCAUAUAUUUUGUAGUAGGAAGGGAUCCAUUAUUUAACCCAGUCCUCCCAUUUAACUGAAAGUGAAACCUAGGCUCAGAGAGGGGAAGUAACACACUGCUGAUUAAUGGUAGACUAGAACUAGAACUUAAGUUGUUUUUUGAUUUUGUUUUUUCUUUUUCUUUUUUUUUUUUGGGGGGGGGUACUGGGGAUUAAACCCAGGGGUGCUUAACCACUGGGCAACAUCUGCAGCUCUUUUUUUUGUGUUUUAUUUAGAGACAGGGUCUCGCUUAGUGCUUAGGUCCUCACUAAGUUGCUGAAGCUGGCUUUGAACUUGUCACCCUCCUGCCUCAGUCUCCUGAGGAUUACAGGCUUGUGCCACUGCACCCAGCACUGAACCCAGGUUUCUUGAUUCCUCAUUUGUAUGGUGCUGCCAUGUGGAAUUGAGGAGAAUAAUGCUGGUUAUCCCUGUUAUAGGUUUCUGAUACAUACCCUGUUUGCCAGACUUCCAAGAUGGUCUACUUCUAUCUAACAUGACUAUUUCUUCAUGCUUUACUUGUCAAAGGACAUUGACUGUUCUAGGAUCCUAUUGCUCACUACUUUUCUCCAAGUCAGAAUGAAAAUGGUGGCAGACUGGCUUAUGUAGAACAGAGUUCAUAUUAGUUUAUUUUUAGGAGUCUAGUUAGUGUUACUUGCAACUACCAUGUUUAGAAUAGAGUAACGGCAAAAAUAUUGAUUAACUUAUGGGAACUGUGAUAAAAGUGUCUAGAAGAAUUUCUACAUCUAAAAAACAAAACUGUCUUUGUUGAAAAUUCAGCUUUCUUACUUAGCCCUCAGAAAUGUUUCUCUCUGAAUUGAAAAUUUAUGCAGUUUUAUUUAAACAAUAUUUGCAUGAUGUGAAUUACUUUAGGGAAGCAAAACCUCCUUUAUGGCCAUUUGUUCCUGAGUUUUUGACAUUCAAUCAUAGAUUAUAUUUGAUUGCUGUUGAUUUUGUGGAUUGAUAGAAAUUCAUUUAUAAUGCUGUUUUACCACAGUCUUAUCAUAUUGAAGUGGAAAAACCUUCAACAUAUUAAUUAGUAAAAUUAAGUUCUAAAUUUAGUGACUUCCAACUGUCAAUUGGUGACUCAUUUAGGUAGGACAGUUGGUAGCAGGAUGGCAAUUUGGGGGGAUCAAUUUGAAUCUGUAAGUUGAAAGCUUUAUUCUGAUUUUGAUAACCUACUUCAUAAAAUAGAGUAGACAAAAUUUAAUUUUUAAAAAUAUAAAAAACCUAUACAGUUUUAGGAUAAAAAUAGUUCAUUGACUAUCUUAUAGGACAGGGAAAAAAACUUUUAAUUUUUAGUAUGCAACCUUUGUACAACACUCUUGUGUGUGUCUUCUUCAGUUCGUUGUUAUGACAGAUGAAUUUUUCAGGUAAAUCCCUUAAAGAACCUGUUUGUUAAAUAAAGUCAACAGUUUUUUUUUUUUAAACUAUUUCCUCUUCACACUCUGGCUACAAUUUGGGGAGAGUACAUCUUGGGGUAAUGAGGUAUAGGAAGAGAGUAUGAAAAGUAGAUCAUGAAAGAUGUAGUGAAGGAGGUGGAGGGGGUGAGGGGACCAGGUUAUGAAGCUGCUUCCUAGGGCCUGCAUAACUGAGAUAAGACAAAUUCCACCAUUUAGUAUUGUUUUACAUACACAUAAAUGGUUUGUUUUAAAUAACCCUAUAUUCAAGAAAUUAAUAACCUGUAAGAAAUAUCUCUGAUAAUAUUUAAAGUCACAAAAUUGGAGCCAGGGCUGUAGCUUAAUGGCAGAGCACUUGCCUAGCACAUAUGAAGCACUGUGUUUGAUCCUCAGCAGCACUCCAUAAAAAUUUUAAAAAUAAAUAAAAGUACUCUGUCCAUCUAUGACAAAAAAUAAAUAAAGUCACAAAAAUUAUAGGUACCGUAUGAUGCCUUACUGAUAUUGACUUGAAUUGAUAAUUAACCUACAUUUCUAUUUUCUAUCCAGAGCUAAGGUAAUUUCUACUAACAUUCACAAAGCCUGUUCCCCUUUUUCUUUUGGAUAUUAUUCAGUUAACCAGAUAAAUCUUUAAUUGGGUGCUCUGUCCUCUCAUGAUUCAAAAUUGAGGGGAAAGCACCUAAGACAAAAUGUGAGCCUCAUAACUGAUGACAACCCCAAUGUUUUUCCCAGUCAGUAUACAAAUUUAUCUUGGUUACUAUAGCAACCAGUCUAUCAGUUAUUCUUCUAGCUCUUUUGCCUUCUCUCAGAUGCUAGGAUUACCAUAUAAUCAGGUUCUGCUAAAGUGCUCCAGGUCUUAGCAUUUUAUUACCAGCUGCAGCUGUCUGGCAGUUUAUAAUUUGGCAUUCCAUCAGGGUCAGUUGCUUUCAAGCUCAUGAAACCUUUUUUUCCUCCAAACACUUUUAAACAUUUUAAACAUACAGAAUUUAACAAAAACAUGUUCAUGCAGCAAUUUCUUCAUACUAAUUAUCUCAGUUCCAAUGUUAACCAUUGUCUUUUAGAUUGAAUGCAUCCAUUGGCCAUCCUUUGUAAUAAUACCAAGUAGAAUAAAUUUCAAGAUCAAGGGUGACCUUUAGGAAAUAUAUUUGCAAAUAGGAUUUUAGACUCAGUAUCAUCACAGCUUAGCUGAAGUGCUUUAAAAGCAUCUUGAUUCAUCAACAACUACCAAAUAAUAUUUUAACAAAAAUGAUUUCUAUGGGUUGUAGAAAGAAUAUUUGGCCUUUAGAUGAGUUCAUUAUAAUUUGAGAAAACUGUUUAGAAAUUUAAUAGGAAAUGUUAUCUUUAUUUCACAGCCUUUGAAUAAACAAAGAAGGAAAGAUAAAGACUGAAUAAUUGGAUGGGUCUUUAAGUUUUUUUUGUGUUCACUUAACAUUUUUAUCUCAUAAAAACUCAGAAUUCAAAUAAUUAAAGUUAUACAUAUGUUAUUUAUUUUGCUCAAAAUAAGGAUAUUGAAGAACUAUAUCAAAUAUUUAAGUCACUUCCAUUAAUGUUUGGUUUUGGAGCUCAUGCUUAUUAGGAUUGCUAGGUAUAGUAGUAACUUCUAAAUGUGCACAAUUGAUCUUUUGUAUUUACUAAAUUGGAGGUGGUUAUUCUGUUAAGGUUUAAGCUUUGUUAUCAUUUCCAUACAUUACAAUAAUAUAAGUCAUUUCUAUUUAGCAAAGUAGAAUUCUACUUUUUAAAUUGAUACAUAAGAAGUACACAUAUUAAUGAGGUGCCAUGUGAUGUUUUGAUGCAUGUAUACUUUGUGUAAUGUUUAAAUCAAGGUAAAUCUGUCUCUUUAUUUAUCAUUGUUUUAUGGUGAAAACAUUCAGAAUCUUUCUUUUAGAUUUAAAGAAAAAUUAUGCAGUGCAUUAUCAUUAUCUGGAGUCACUCUGUUAUGUCAUAGAAUACCAGAACUUCUUUCUCCUAACUGUAACUUAGUACCUGUUAAUCAACUGUAAUCUGUCUUCCCUCACUUCUUAUUUCUUCAGCCUCUGGGAACUACCAUUUUACUCUCAACUUCUAUAAGAUCAACUGUUUUAGAUUCCAUGUGAGUGAGAUCAUGUGGCAAUUGUCUUUCUGUGCUUGGCUUAUUUCAGUUAACAUAAUGAUCUCCAGUUCUAUACAGGAUGUCACAAACAACAAGUUUUCAUUCUUUUUUAUGGCUGAAUAGUAUUCCAUUGCAUAUAUUUUCUACAUUUUUUUAUCUAUUCACCAGUUGAUAAAUAACUUCAGUUGCUUCUCUCUCCUGGUAAUUACCCUGGGCAUGUUGAUAUCUCUUUGGAUUGAUUUCAUUUAUUUUGGAUAUAAACCCAGUAGUAGUAUUGCUGGGUCAUAUGGUAGUUCUAUUUUAAAUUUUUUGAAGCACCUCCAUACUGUUUUUCCACAAUGUAUUAAUUUACACUCCAAUCAUCAGUGUGCAAGGGUUCCUUUCUCUCCAUAGCCUUGACAGCACCUGUUAUCUUUUAUCUUUUUGAUAAUAGCCAUUCUAAUUGAAGUGGAGUGAUGUCUAGUGGUUCUGUUUCAAUUUGUGUUUCCCUGAUGAUUAGGGAAGUUGUACUUUUUUCAUGUACCUGUUGGCCAUUUAUAUGUCUUCUUUUGAGAAAUGUAACUUUGUAACUAAAUGUCAUUUUAAGUGGGAUUAUGGGGGGGGGGGCGUUGCUGUUGUUUGAGUUCUUUAUAUAUUCUGGUUAUCAAUCCUUUGUCAAAUAUAUAGCUUGCAAAUAUUUUCUCCUAUUCUGUAAGUCAUCUCUUUGCUGUGUUGACUGUUAACUUUGCUGUGCAGAGCUUUUUAACUUGGUAUAAACAAAUUUUUCUAUUUUUAUUUUCAUUUCCUAUGCUUUUAGGGUCUUAUCCUAAAAAUCCUUGCCCAUUCAAUUGUCCUGAAGCAUUUCAUCUAUGUUUUCUUCUAGUAGUUUCAUGGUUCAGGUCUUACAUUUAGAUCUUUAAUCCAUUUUGAAUUUUUUUAUAUCAAUUGGUGAUAGGGGAUUAAUUUCAUGUGGAUAUCCAAUUUCCCCAGCACAAUUUAUUGUCCUUUAUCCAGUGCAUGUACUAAGCACCUUUGUCAAAGAUCAGUUGGGGAUGGAUAUGUGUAUUUAUUUCUAGGCUCCUGCUCUAUUCCUGGUCUGUGUGUCUUUUUAUGCCAGUACCACUUAAUUUUAAUUAUUAUAGCUUUGCAGUAUGUUUUGAAGUCAGGUAGUGUAAUUUUGCCUGCUUUAUUCUUUUUGUUCAGGAUUGCUUUCUCUAUUUGAGGAUUUUUUGUGGUUCCAUAUGAAUUUUGUAAUUUUUUUUUCUGAUCUGUGAGAAGUGUUACUGAUAUUUUGAUAGGGAACGCAUGGAAUCUGUAGAUUGAUUUAGUAUUACAGACAUUUUAACUAUUGAUUCUUCUAAUUCAUGAAUUUCAGAUGUCUUUUUGGUAUCUGUUUUGAUUUAUCUCAUCAGUGUUUGAUAAUUUUCAUUGUAGCUCUUUCAUAUCUUUGGUUUAUUCUUAGGGUUUUUUAACUAUUGCAAAUGAGGUUGCGUUUUUGUUUCCUUUUCAGACAAUUUGCUAUUGGUAUGGAAACAAACUGAUUUUUGUAUGUUUCAUUAAGAUUUUACUUUUAAGAUAUUGUGAUAUUUUUCAAAAAGUAACUUUCCUGAAUUAGAAAUUAUUAUAGUAAGCUUGUUAGUAUAUACCUUUGGCACUGAAUGAUAAAAUCUUAUCUUUAAUUUUUAUUUAAAUCAUACGUUGAAUGGUUUCAUUUUAAGAUUAGUACAUCUUAUUCAACACUGCAGUUAAGUUUUAAUAAUGCCCCCUAGGAGAAUAUUAAUUGCACAAGUAGACUUCAGAGCAGAAAGUUUUACUCUCUCCAUGGGACGCUGAUCCUUAAAAUUUUAAAAGAGGGAGGAUAAAUUUUUAAAAAUCCAAGGGUGGCACAUAAAAUUAUUAGAAACUUAAGAUGGAAAACUUUUAACCAUUUUUUUCUAUACCAUAAUUUUUUUUAGUUGUUGAUGGACCUUUAUUUAUUUAUAUGUGGUGCUGAGAAUGGAACCCAGUGCCUCACACAUGCUAGGCAAGUGCUCUACCCCUGGACCACAACUCUGACUCCAUACCAUAAUUGAACCCUGAAUGUUCUGAUGGACUGCAGAUCAAACUUUCUAGAGAACCAGUAAACAGCAUGUUGUGCUGUAUUCAAGCUUGGUUUGUUCAAAGCAAGCAUUUGAUCACUAAGUAGGUUUGAGAGUAGGGAUAGGAGUAUUCUUUCUGGCCUUAUUCUUGAACUGAUAUGAAUAGCUAUGGAUGAACUUAAAACCCAUAGUCCUCUUUUAAAUAUGUCUCGGAAAUCCUUUAUUUAAAUUAGGGUACUGGGUAAGUAAUCUUUCUGGUUAUUAGCAGUACUAGUAACAACUUAAGUGUUUUUGAAAAAAACCUCUUAGCUGGAUGUGGUGGCACACGUCUGUAAUCCUCAUAGUUUGGAAGCCUCAGCAAUUUGGUGAGGCCCUAAGUAACUUAGUGAGACCCGUCUCAAAAUAAAAUAAAAAAUAAAAACAGGCUGGGGAUGUGGUCAGUGGUUAAGCUCCCAUGAGUUCAAUCCCCAGUACCAAAAAAAAAAGUUAAAAAAAAAAACCACUCUUAAAAUAUGCUUAUUUUCCCAUGUCAAACUGAAAUGACAGGUGGUUUGAACAUUUUCCUCAGCCCCAAAUCCACUCUUUAUUGCCAACUUUCUCCUUCCUAGUAACAUUACUACAGAGAUUUCCUAGCGUAACAGUUCUUGUCCCUUAUAACUGAGAAGGAACAGUGGUGGAUGAAAUAUGAAGAGUGGAAGGAUUGGGGAAGGAAUAAGGGGAAAAGUCAGUUAAAUUGGAUAUAUACUUUCGUAAGUGAAAUUUUUUUAGUAGUGUGUCUGGUGGGUAUGGGUUAUUGGAUUACACAGAGAUGGGUAAGCAGAGUGAAUUCAGUAGCUUGAUAAAAUUAGUACCUUGAUGAGUGAGAGCAAGUAGGUCUGUUGAUAUUUUGCAAUGUGUACUUUAUUUUUAUUGAAUUGGAUUAAGGGCUUAAGGUAAAUGACUUUUUCCUUUAAAUGAAUUUUAUUAUCCCUGUUAUAUCCCAGGUCAUAGUUCUAGGCUGCUGUUCUUUAUUUUAGCCUUUUCCUUAUUUCCCAGCAUGGAGAGAUAUCCACAGUUGAAGUGUAACAGCAGCAGAAGGUUUAGAUGGGGAUUGAGUUGAUGAGUAUGCAUGUUCUGUGGCGUUCCACUUCCCUUCACAAUUUCUUCUACUUUCAAACAUCCUGGUACACUCAGAUCUUACCUAAUCAUCCCAGCUCCCCUCCCACACAUUCCAGUUACUAUAAGAGAAGUAGGGGAGGGGCUGAGGCAAGGACAGUGGUUUGUAUUUUUUGUAACUUGGGGACAUCCUGUACUCAAUAAAUAUUAAAUGUUAACAGUGAAACCUUGGGAAAUAUUGACAGUUAUCCUGCCAUUAUAUCAAAUUCUUGUUAUUAACUUUUUUUCCAGGGGUAAAUGUGUUCAAAAUAAAAAAAAAAAUUAGUACUAUAUAAUUCUAUGUGUUGUUACAUGCAAAGAAUAAGAACUCCAUAAUGCCUACUAAUGUUGGACAUUGAUUUUCAAAGUUUUUCUUAAUACACAGUCACUUCUGACUGUCUUGUAGUUCUGUGUGAUAGGACAAUUUUUUAGAUAGGUGGAAAAAUUGAUAGCUUAGGAUAGGUUAGGGACUUGUAAGUCAGCAAGAGGUAAAAUUUUACUAACUUGUGGUAAUUAAACAAAUGGUUUUGAAUGAAGAUUUAAAACACUAGGUCACCCCUACUUUCAUUUUCUAAACUAUAAACAUUUUGUGAUGUUCUAGUUUACAUAUAAAUUAUUAAAAUGACAAGGCUAACUCCUGACAUUUGGGUAUAUAGAACUUUGAAAUAAUAAAAGGGAGAGUUUUUUAUGCCCUUCUUUUUAAGCUUUGACAUAAUUGAUUGUUACGUAAGCCAGAUCAGGAAGUAACCUUGCUACUGAAAAAGAUGGAAUCCCAGACAACUGUUCACUGUCUUUCAAAGGGUGCGUUCUUCUCUCUCUCUCUCUCUCUCUCUCUCUCUAUCCCAGGGUCCCAGGGGUGCGUAUCCACUGAGCCACAUUCUCAGCGCUUUUUACAUUUUAUUUUGAGUCAGGGUCUAAGUUGCUUAGGCUGGCUUUGAAUUUGCAAUCCUUCUGCCUCAGUCUACCGAGUUGCUGGGAUUACAGGCCUUCACCACCAUGCCCAGCAUGUUCUUUGUUCAUAAGGGUAACCCAGGAUGUGAGCCACUCAAAAGUCUCUAUCCCCAGAUUUUUUUUUUCUGUAAUUGUUUUAUAAAUUGUUGUCAGUUGUUUAGUCAGGCCAUGGUACUGUGGUGGGAUAAUUAUUUAUAACUCUCACUCAUACUUUUGGCCACAACUCACUUACCCAAUAUUUCUUUUUCCCCUUUCUCCUUCAUAUGUGUUUUCUAGUAGUCACAAUGAGAUACAUGAUAGUUAUUAACAUUUUCUACCUAACCAAAUCUCUAUUGACUAUUAAAUUAAUGGGAAAAAUGCAUUCCUGAUAACUAGGUAAUUGAAAAAUUACAUGAAUAGUAAUUACUAUUUAAGAUGCCGAUAAGAUUGAAUAAGCUUUUUUAUAAUAAAUCAUAAAGGACUUAAACUUGACCUAUAGAAUGUUUAAUGUAUGUAAGUAUUCUAGGUAAUUUAAGAUUUUUCUAGAAUAUUUAAGUCCUUCAUACAUUUUUCAUAAAAAAUUGCAGAAGGAGAAAUUCAAGUCAAAAAAGCAUAAAAAUUGAAUUUAUGUAGUGCUUAAUAUUAAAUGUUAUCAAAAUAUGUUUGAUUUUCCAUUUAUGAUGGUGAAGAAGAACAUGAAUAAUUAAAACCUACCCAUUAACUGGAUGUGGUGGUACAUUCCUAUAAUGUCAGCUACUGGGGAGGCAGAAGAUCACAAGUUCAAGGAUAGCAUGGGCAAUUUAGUGAGGCUUUUUCUCAAUUUUUCUUAAAAAAUUGAUUGCUUGGCUAGCAUGCAUGAAGUCCUAUUUAUAGGAUCUCUAGUACUGUCCCACCCUCAAAAAAAAAAAACCUACACUUUAUACCAGAAUCUUAGUUAAGUCAUUAGUUUACCACUUAUUUUCCUUUAAGACCUUUUUAUCAGAGAUAACACCUGUAAACGUUCUUUAAUUUAAAAAAAAAAUGGUUUGAUUUGACUUUUGUUCCUCUGCCUGUCUUGGGUGAUUAUCAGUGAACUCAACCAGGAAUCUUGAAGACUGAAAUGUAAGUUCACUGAUCAUAGAAGCGAUCCAUUUGCGUUUUUUAAAGGGGGGUUUACAAGUACUUUAGAGCCCUAUUUUUUGUUUGUUUGUUUGUUUUAGGUGGACACAAUAUCUUAUUUUUUUAUUUUUAUGUGGUGCUGAGGAUCGAACCCAGUGCCUCAUGCAUGCUAGGCAAGCACUCCACCACCGAGCCACAACCCCAGCCCCCUAAUUUUUAUUUACAAGUUACUGGUAUUUACUGUUUACAAUUAAGUGUUACACUGAAUGUUAGAUAACUUACAAAAUCUUAUAAACAUAUUAGUUUGAUAAAGUUUCUGUAAUGUGGCCUGCAGCCCAACAUCUUGUUUGUUUACUUUUUAAAAAUUACGUUACAAGGUGAUUUCACAUGUUUGCAAUGGUUAUUGACUUCUCCAGACAGGCAUAAUUUUAGUUAUAUGCUUCUGUCUAUUUUUUACUAGAAAUUACUUUAAAACAUUAAUAGAUCUGAUUUUUAUUUUAACCUACUUAAUUGGAAUAUUAUGAUAUUGCUGCCUUACCCCAGAGUUAUUUUUUUUAAUGUAGGUAUUUAUUGAAUGGUUUUAAAUGUGCAGAGUAGAAUGGUUUUCGUGUAACAUUCUUGAGUAGGGCAAAGAACACAAUUUUUUUUGGUUAUUUUUUUCAAUAAACACAUUAUUGAAAAAUGACAUGGAAAUAUAUGGAAAAUAUAGGAAUAUGACAUGGAAAUAUGAUAUAUACAUAAUAUUUUAAAAAUCAGUUUGUCAUUUUAGACAAGAGAGUUGCUUAAGGGUCUACUUUAAGUUUGUAAUUUACCUUAUGUGUGAACAGAUUUAUAUUUCACCACUAAAUUUCCUUUGAUUUCAUUAAAGGUUAUUUAAAAAUAUUGCCACAAAACAUACUUUCAAAAAAUAUAGAGCCAUUGUGCCGAAUUUUCUCACCAUUUCUGUCAAUAUCAUUGAUAAAAUAGGUACUUUUGAUACAUUUCUACUUUGGGGCUUUCAUCAUAUUUAAAACUUAAAAUGACCAUUCAAAUAAUAAUAUGUGAACUAAAAAUAGUUCACAUUUGGAGGAUUCAGUGUAUUCCCUGUUAUGUGAUUAUUUUAACUGUUUUGUCAGCUUUUUGUCAGUCUUGUUAGUAAACCAGUAUUGCCUUAUGUCCAGGGAAAUUUGAGUGAUUUGUUUUCUACUGCCUAGUUAAAACAUGACAUUUUAAAAUGUACUAUGAAUUGAACUGCUAUAAACAUUGACGUGGAUACAUCACUAUAGUAAGCUGACUGAUUUUAAGUCCUUCAGGUAUAAACCAAGGAAUGGAUAGCUGGAUCAAAUGAUGGUUCCAUUCCAAGUUUUUUUGAGGAAUCUCCAUACUGCUUUCCACAAUAGUGGCACCAAUUUGCAGUCCCACCAGCAGUAUAUGAGCGUACCUUUUUCCUCACAUCCUCGCCAACAUUUAUUGUUGCCUGUAUUCUUGAUAAUUGCCAUUCUGACUGGAGUGAGUUGAAAUCUCAGUGAAGUUUUAAUUUGCAUUCCUCUAAUUGCUAGAGAUGUUGAAUAUUUUUUCAUAUAUUUGUUGAUCGAUUGUUUGGUUUUGAUUUCUGAUUUUUGCUGCUGCAUUUUUUUUCCUGCCUGGCCUCAGUUGGCAAUAAUAGGACUCCAUGUGAGUGUUUUCUGAGCACCAGAACCCUUCCGAUUCCAUGCUUAGAAUUAGCACUUUAGUGUUGGUCUUGGUUUGCUAUCAGAUCUUACUAUUUCAAGCUUGCUGGGCUUUAGAAAUCAGAACCCUUUAAUUAGCUGUUUACUUUAAUGUUUACUUAUCUUUGCUCAUAUCCAGUUCACCUCAAGGACCUUAGAAUCCCAGUACUUUCUUUGUAUCAGCAAGCUGUUCUUUGUUCUGCUUGUUUCAGUUGCUUGAAACACUGCUUAAGCUCAUCUUACUUUUUGUUUUGUUUUGUUUUUCUUAUGGCAAAGGCAGAAAAGGGGGAUAAAAACAAAAUUAUAUUGUAGAGUGAGUCACCUUUCUCUAAGAAACAUGUUUCCCAAGCUACAGGCUUUAUUCCACCAAACUCGCUCUAUACUACUACUUCAAUGUCAUUGCUGCUUUUUUCUUGGCUUCUUCAUAGCCAGCCACCUUUUAUUCUCUGAAAAAGAAGUAAGUCUUCUUAGGAACAAAAAUAAAGACCUAGUUAGUCCAUUUCUCUGUGCAGUGCCCAAUUGUUUUGGUAUAUUUCUUUCAUGAAAUAUAAUAAGAAGUUUGGAAAUGGUGAUGUUAAGAAUUAGAUUGCACUAAUAUUUUAUUUUUAUAUCAUAGGAGGUGGUUUUUUGCGUUUCUAGUUGUUUAGUUAAAUGUGAAAUAGGUGGCAAAUGUAGGUUUCGCCUGCACACUGAUUUCUCCCUAUUUGCAAAAGCCUUAUAAGUUGUGUUUGUUUGUUUUCAGGUAAAUCUAAUAGGUGGAGAAACACCAAACCCAAAAGGCAGAAAAUCUGCCUAUAGGUAACAGGUGAGAAACUAGAAGUAGGAUAGCUUAUGAGGUCUGGCUCUUUGAAAAUAUAGAAAUUCAAUGUUCUUUUUUAAAAGUAGAUUUAAUUACUUAUACCAUGAUUUUAAGUCCCAAUUACCCUAAGGCAUGAGUGAUGAAGAUCCAGUAAUUGCCUGCAGGGAAACUAAUGGUCAAAGCUCUGAAAAACCAACUUACAUUCCUACUGUGGUCACCAUGUCAGUAGCUGAUUUCAAAAUGUGGGUUUUGUAGUGGGCCUAGUAAGGCAGUUCAAGUAGCUUCUAUUUAGGGAAUCUAAUCUAUGGGUUGGGUUUUUUUUUUUUUUUUUUGGUACCAGGGGUGAUUAACCACCUCAGCCACAUCCCCAGUCCCCAUAUUUUAUUUAGAGACAGGUCUCACUAAGUUGCUUAGGGCCUCGCUAGGUUGCUGAGGCUGGCUUUGAAUUCACAAUCCUCUUGCCUCAGUCUCCUGAGCCACUGGGAUUAUAGGCCUGCCCCACUACACCUGGCUACAUGGGUUCUUAAUACACAUUUGUAUCUAUUGCUAUUCAUAUCUAGGUUCUAUUAGUGCCUCAGGCGGUGGGAGGAUGUUUAGAGUAUAAGUUGACAGAAUUGAGAAGCAAAUUCUACUUCUUGUUGCAGAAGGUUCAUCAGUUUUUUGAUUGAUAUAGAAAUAGUAUAUCUGAAAUAUUUCUAGUAUCCUUUUUAUAAAGGGAGGAAAGUGUCCUAAAAUAACUAUAUACGUAGUAUGUGAUUCUCUUUUUUAAUGAUAACAUACUUUCAAUUGAUUAAUCUAGAAAGUUAGCUGUUGAUGUUUAUUUUACCUAUAUCAGUUAACCUCAUUUUGAUCAUGUUGAAUGAGAAUAGUUUUACAUAAAUAUCUAUAUAAACAAUGGCUACAAGUCAACUUAAAUAUCUAGAAAUUUUGUCAGUUUGUUACAAUAGCCUUCUUGAGUUUUUUUUUUUUUUUUUGGGGGGGGGUGGGGGGAGGUAUAGUAUUUGCAUUUACCGAUAUGCACUGAAUGCCUUGUCCAGAAAAACUUUGACUGAAUAUGCAAAUGUAUAGAUCUUUUCCCCCAUUCAGUGAGUGUUGUAAAAUAUUUAGAAGAAUAUUUAUAUAAUGACAUUGGCCAUGUGAUUCUUCCUUCUUAAUUCUUUUAAACACACACCAGCAUAUCACAGGAUUUUUUGGUUCAUCUAAUUAACUUGGGUAUGAAUUAGAGUUGCUGACAAUGUACAGAACAGUCUGUUAAAUUCCAAUUUCAGAUAAACAACAAAUACAUUUAUAUUAUAUUUUUCUGAAAUUGGAAUUUAACUGAACAUUCUGUUUUUAGUUGCUAAAUCUGGCAACCCUCAGUGGGGGAGAAAUAGAGGGAAAGUAGUGGAUAUGGGUACAGUUUUAAGAUUUAAGUGCAACUGGAGUGUAUGCAAUGCCAAGAGUGGCCUUUAUACUUGACAGGAAUAGAUGAUUUUUUCAGUGCAAUGAUUUUUUUUUGGUACCAGGUAUUGAACCCAGGUGCACUUAACCACUGAGGCACAUCCCCAGCCCUUUUAAAAAAUAUAUUUUUAGUUGUAGAUGGAAACAAUACCUUUAUUUUAUGUAUUUUUAUGUGGUGCUGAGGAUUGAGCCCAAUGCCUCACAUGUACUAGGCAAGCACACUACAGAGUUACAACUUCAGCUCCCCCAGCCUUUUUUUAAUUUUUUACUUUGAGAAAGGGUCUCACCAAGUUGCUUAGGGCCUCACUAAGUUGCUAAAGCUGGCUUUGAACUUGCCAUCCUUCUGCCUCAGCCUCCUGAGCCAUUGGGAUUACCGGCAUGUACCACCGCAUUCCACAGUGCAAUGAUAUUUAGUGUCCAACAUUUUUUUCUUUGAAAUACAUCAGUGAAAACAGAGCUCACAAAUGACAAAACUUACCAAUGUAUUGUUUAUGAAUAUAUAUACAUGCAUGUUUUGAUGAAACUUUUUAAAAAUGAAAAAGUUAAGGGAACCAUACGUAAAAUCUGGGAUAGCGGAUACCUCUAUGGGAGAGAUAGGCAAAUGGGGUAGAGUACACAGUAAGCUGCACUGCUAUUGCAGCUGUUCUAAUUGGUAAAAUGUAAAGUGGUGAGUCACAGGAGUUCAUAUUACUUAUUAUGUGUCAUAAUUAGUUAUAUGUAAAGAUUGAAUAUUUCUUCUCUAAGAUACUUGGGAUAAAAGUGGUUUGAAUUUUAGAUUUGUUUUAUUUCAUAUUAUUUUGGAUUUCAGAAUAUUUACAUGUACAUACUCAGAUAUCUUAGGGACAGGACUCAGGUCUAAACAUGAAAUUCAUCUAUUUCUUAUACACAUUUUUUGGGAGGGUACUGGGGAUUGAACUCAGGGGCACUUGACCACUGAGCCACAUCCCAGCCCUAUUCUGUAUUUUAUUUAGAGACAGGGUCUCACAGAAUUGCUUAGCACAUCACCGUUGCUGAAGCUGACUUUGAAUUCUGAAUCCUUCUGUCUCAGCCUCCCAAGCUGCUGGGAUUACAGGCAUGCACCACCAUGCCCAGCUUUAUACACAUAUCUUCAAGGUAAUCUUCCAUAAUAUUUUUAGUGUGCCUGCACUUUGAUUACCACUUGUCACUUGAGGGCCACUAUGGAAUUUUCCACUUGUGACAUAUUGGCUUUCAGAAUGUUUCAGAUGUUGGAGCAUUUUGGAUUUUAGAUGUUUGGAUUGAGGUUCUCAAUCUGUACGUGCUACAUAUACUCUUGUAUAUAUCAAAUAUAGAAUGGCAGUUCAAAAGUUAAAACAUAAACUUAAAUAAGAAAAUUAUUCCAUGUAUUAAGUUUCACUGUAUAUACUUUGCAAAAUAAAUCCAAAAAAUAAGGUCAAGAGGCAUUAACUAGUUUCUCAGAGAUCAGAUCAACUAAUUAAUAGCAUUUAGAAUGAUUACUUAUCAUAUAAUACAUCUAAAAUUAACUUCUCAGUUUAUAAAAUUUUCAUUUGUAUCAUUUGACCUCUACAGUAACAAGCUUCAGUUUUUUACUUAGAAAAAGUGAUGGUUCCGAUGUGUUAUGUGUCAAGUUAAAAGAAGAAAACAGCAUGCAUAAAGAUUUGAUUAAAUCAAAUGGCCAAGGUAUAAAUUUUAAGAUUUGUAGGGCAGAGCAAAAAUCACAAAGAACUCUGCUCUCCUUGAUUAAUUUUUUAAAAAUUAGAUUUCUAACUCCUCUCACCUAAGAACUGUAGUCAUGUGCUGCAUAUUGACCUUUUUGGUUAGCAAGAGACUUACAUAAAUGGCAGUGGUUCCAUAAGAUUUAUCUUGCCUAGUGACUUAGUUUGUAUAAGAACAUUCUCUCAGCUGGGUGCAAUGUUGCAUGCCUAUAAUCUCAGAGGCUUCAAAGGCUGAGCAGUAGAAUCACAAGUUCAAGCCCAGCCUCAGCAAUUUAGUGAGACCCUGUCUCUAAAUAAACUUCAAAAAAGGACUGGAGGUGUGGGCUCAGUGGCUAAGCACUCCUGGGUUCAAUCUCCAGUAUCAAAAAAGAGAACAUUCUCUGGUGGUCACGCAAUGACAAAAUUGCCUAAUGACACAUUUCUCAGAGUAUGUCCCCAUUAUUAAUCCAUGUAUGACUGUAUUUGGACAGUUUGCAACCAUCAGUAAAUAGAAAAAUUCAUCUUUAGCAAGCACCAGUUUAGGGCAAGCUAAAGUAUUUUGUGUGCAUUUACUUAGUGUUUUAAAGCACUUCUAGUUCUCAGUAUCCUUGUAUAAUUUUCUGUGGUAGAAAUAGCUGGAGGGCUGUUCCAGGAAGCCUUUCUAAAUAUAAUCCUUUCUCCCUCUUAUAUACACUUGAGUGCCCCUCUGUGCUUCCAGGAGAUUAUGUGCUUAUGUCUCUCAUUGAAAGUAUUGAAAUUAUCUGUUCAUGUAUUUGCCUUCCCACCAGAUUGUGACCUCUCUGGGGGCAAAGGCUCAAUCAUUCUCAUCCUCCCCCCACAAUGCCUGGCAGUGCCUGGCAGUGCCUGGCACAUAGUAGACAACCAGUAAUGGUUUGUUGACUAAUGAAGGAACUUAAGGGGUCAACCAACUUAAAUCUAACUCCUUCAUUUCACAGGUGGAAACCAAAAUUUAGAGAGAUUAAGAAAUAGAAGCAGACCAGAGUGGUUAUCCAUUCCAGACUUCUGCAGUGCCCAUGUUAAGGUUAUUAUUCAGUUUCUGUUUGAAUAUCAGGGAAGCAGCUCAUUCCUGUUUCUAAACUCCAAUGGAUAACUAAACUCAUUAGGUUAAGCAAAAUACCCACUUAGUCCUUGUUCUGCUGUAUGAUGCCUGAAACAUUUGAAGACAGCAGCUGCUUUUCUUCUUUCUUAUUCUCCAGGUUAGCCAUUCUUGUUUCUUUGUAUCAUUCCACUUUAGUAUUUAUAGCAUUUAUGAAGUUGAUUUCUCUCUUUUGGAUAUAUUCUAUUUUAUCAAUGUUCCUUUUUUAAGAUGUGAUAAUCCAAAUAGUACACAAUAUUCUUAAGUGUGCUCUUUUCAGUGAGAAAUUCCAGAACACUCACACCCCCCUUGCUCUGGACAUAAUGAUUCUUCUAAUGGUUCAGUCUAAGAGCACAUUAGCUCUUUGGCAGCCAUGUUAUGACAUUUACUCUAUCCAAGCCAUCAACAAAAAUACUAAAAUGUUUUCACCUGGUUUCUGUUAAGCCACAACUUCCUUCCCCAUGAAUUUUACAUUUAUCCCUACUACAUUUCAUUCUGUUAAGAUUUGAUUUAUUGCUUUAGUCUGUUGAAAUAUUUUGAAUCCUUUUGCCCAUUAUAAUACCUACCCAUCCCAACUUUUUGUCAUCUGCAAAUUUGGAAGAUACACCAUCAGUGUCCUCAUCUAAGACAUUAGUAAGAAUAUCAAAGUAGGAUAGGGAACUUACUGCUUUAAUCUGUAUAUUUCUGUGUACAGUAGUCCCUUUUUAUUAAUGUGUUUAAGAAAUUUGUUUGGAGUCAGGUGCAGUGGCACAUGCCUAUAACCCCAGGUAUGAGGAGACUGAAGCAGGGGGAUCCGGAGUUUGAGGCCAGCCUGGCCAAUACAGUGAGACUCAAUCUCAGAAAAGAAAUUUGUGUUUUAUUGACAUAAAAUGAAUCUGUCUAUAGUUUGUGGCAUAUGCCCGUUCAGUGUUGACUCUUAGAGUGUUUUCCUCUUCCAUUUUCCCAGUUUUUUCAAAGGUUUUUGAUAGAAAUUGAGCUCAUAAUUCUCAGAUAUACUAAGAAAUAGUUUGUCUGGGACCAUAGAGCUGAACUUACUUGGAAUAGUCAGGUACUUUCAUCUCUUUGAAUGUUUCAGGAUUCUAGACACCAUUCUACAAUUGGUUUUUCCCUUUAUGGUUUGUCUAUUAAAGAUCUUAAUUGGAAAAAAAUAUUAAACACUUUUUACAUUAUAAUAGUGUAUACUUAUCCACAUAUAAACAGCCUGCACUUUUUGUUCUUGUUGAAUACUAAUUAAAGAAAAUGUUUUUCUCUGGCAUUUUUUGAAAUCUUGCACAUCAUGAGCAUCAGCUUUCUGAUACUUUUAUUACAGUUUUUUUUUUUUGUGAGAGAGAGAGAGAGAGAGAGAGAGAGAGAGAUUUUCCUUGGAUAUGUGCCCAUUCUAUCUCUCCAAUAUCUCCUGCAGUUUUUCCUUUAAAAUAUGGCUUGUGACAUGUAACCAUAGAGAUGCAAUCAACAAAAUUUAGAUCAUGUGAAAGUUUACAGGAUGAGCAACCUAAUUUCUUCACUAUACAAAUUGCAAGAAAAUAAAAGAUUGAGGGGGAGCCUACUGAUUGAAAUAGACAUGUUAUCUGAUUGCAAUAUAUGAACCUCGUUUGAUUGAACUGAACCAACUGUAACAAAAAAUUGAGGCAAACUGGGAAAUCUGAAUGUUGACUAUAUAAAAUAAGAAAUUGUUAAAUUUUAUAAUGGUCUUAUGGUUAUGUUUUAAAGAGAAGUUUAUAUUCUUUUUAGGUACAUACUAAAAAGUUUAUGGGGAAAUGAAAUUGUUUCUGACAUUUGCUUUAAAAUCUGACAGGACUGGAGGAAAGGGUAUGCUGUAGAUGGACAUAACACCUUUAUCUUUUUAUGUGGUGCUGAAAAUCAAACCCAGUGCCUCCCACAUGAGGCAAGCACUCUACCACUGAGCCACAACCCCAGCCCAAAAGGGUAUUUAUUGAUCAUUGUUUAACAAGGUCAUCAUGUUGUAUGUAUGGGUUCAUGAUAUUAUUCUCCCAGCUUUGUGUAUGUUUGAAAUAGCCAUAAUUAAAAACUGGAAAAACUCCCCCCAAUUAUUUUUUAUUAUUGCAUAAAUUGUUACUGUCUGAUUUAAGUCUGAAACUCAGGUCUCCUGAUUCUAACUCAUGCUCUUUUAUUGUUUAGCUAAAAUUCCAGCAAUUCUACUUCUAUAUUGAUGUUAUAUUUUUCUUUCAGUGUCUGGAAACUCCAAGCUUUGCCUAGAAAAUUGGUGGAUAAAUUCUAAAUAAAUCAAGGCUUUAAUAUAUUGUUAUAGUUUUAAUUAAUUGGCUACCAAUCCAUUGAAAACUUGAAGGGACAUUAGAAUUAAUAGGGUAUUAUAUGGUUUUUUGGAAACUGCAAAGGAACUCCUUGAUGACCUAGUCUAAACUAGUUUUUUUGUUGUUGUUGGGUUGGUUUUAUGUUUUGUUUUGUUUUUGAUAGUGGAGAUUGAACCCACAUGCCAAGUAAAGUUCUACUACUAAGCUAUAUAUACCCCAGCCUAACUAGGGCUUUUGUUCUUAGCAUAAUUUCUAAGAUGGCAGGGAUAUUGUUUGUUUUGUUCACUACUUUACCCCAAACAUCUAACAACAUACCUGGUAUAUGAUAAGAAAUAAGUAAAAGUUAAAUGAAUUUAAUUUAACCUCUUUUGGUCUCAUUUUCCUUUAAUUAUUAAUAUUUCUUCAAACACUAAAAAAUUACUCUUGACUUCUAACUCAUUUUUAAAAAUCUUUGGGGAUUUUUAAUGAAUUACUGUAAAUCUCUUUAAUACUAGGUAAUAUCAAUAGGCAGGCAACAUGUUCACUUUUAAUAACUUGUUAUUUAAAAAAAAAACAGUAGUUAUAUGUUGCAUCCAAAUCUGAAAAAAAAAUAACCUAUUGCUAUAUACUGUGUGUGUGUGUGUGUGUGUGUGUGUAUUUUACUAGAGACUAAACUCAAGGCCUUAUGCUUGCUAGGCAUGGGUAUAUAUUUUCUGUUGGAUUGAUUUUUGUUUCUAUAAAGUAAAUGUAUACUCUUCUUAGCAUACUAGAUUAGAGAGUCAGGUUUAGCAAGUUUCAAAGUCCAACCAUAUAAGAGGAUUGAUAAAACAUUGCUUUGCUUGCAUAUUUGCAUGUUUCACUGCAGUUGUAUUGAAUGCAGUACUAUUAUGUGAGAGAUUAUAAAGGAUUUGACAGUUUACUUCCUAUGAAUCUCAGCAACUCUUGGGUAAGUUGCUCAUUAGAUACAUAUACUUUGUGACUGGGUACCUAUGCUUGGGAGUAAUAACCUUAUUAUUCUAAUGAAAUUUUGCUUCAUAUGUCUGAAGGUUAUGGCUGGAUCAGGUUAGAAUUUAUAAAAGAAAAAUACUAUCCACAAAAAAUACUACUACUAUCCUACAAUAUUACAAGAGCAACAUUUUGUAACUACAUGAAAAUUUUUAAAUAGUGACUAUUUUGAAGAUAUUAAAAUAUAUUGCUACUGGACACCAGUACCCUAGCUUCAAAAGGAAAACUACUAUAAUUAACAAUGCCAGAGCCUGGCAUGGUGGUGUAUGCCUAUAAUCCCAGCAACUUGGGAAAUUGAAGCAGAAGGAUCACAAGUUCAAGGCCAGCCUCAGCAAUUUAGCGAGACUAUCUGCAGAUAAAAAGUAAAAAGGACUGGAGAUGUAUCUCAGUAGUAAAGUGCCCCUGAGUUCAAUACCCAGUACCAAAAAAAAAAAAGAGUAAAGCAAAACAAAAACUAAAUGAGUUGGGACAAGAGAAAGUAUCUACCACAUUAUUUUAUAUUCAGGCAUGAAAUUUGUUAGUAUAAACUGAAUGUUAGUAUAUGAAAAUAACUCAUAGAAAACAGGAUAUAGUGAAUCAAAAUAUUCUGUCUACUUUGAAAGUUGCUGAAGUAAUAAUCUAAAAAUCACUUUUACAUGCAAUAUGUAAGUAGAAGCCACACUACUUUUAGUAUUUGUAAGUCAUGUUUUCUUCUUAGUAGAAUACCAAUAUUAUUUAAAGCAGAGUUUUAUUUUGAAACUGUUUUGGAAAUUGUUUUUCAUGUUUAAAUGUAAUAACACAGUUGAUAGACACUGUCUUCAAUUUGGGAAGCUACUACAAAAUUAAAAUUUUACUUUGUUUUCUACAUUGAUCUGAGCAAUGAUCUUUUGUAUUUAACCCCAAAAGCAUAGACGGCAAAAGCAACAGUAGACAAAGCUCCUGCACAGCAAAUGAAAUGGUUAACAGAGUAAAGAAACAGCCUAUGGGUUGGGAGAAAAUAUUUGCAAAGCACUUAUCUUAUUGAUAUCCACAAUAUAACUAGGUGGAGUAGCUGGCACAUACCUGUAAUCUCAGUUACCUGGGAGGCUGAGGCAGGAGCACUAGUUCAAGGCCAGCUUUAGCAACUUAUGCCCCAAGCAAUUUAGCAAGACCCUGUCUCAAACAAAAAAAUAAGAAGAACCAGGGGUGGAGCUCAGUGGUAAAGCAUCCCUGGGUUUAAUCCCCAGUUCCAUAAAGAGGAAAAAAAUGAAUAUCCAAGGUAUAUCAGGAACUUGGACAAUUUAAUAGCAGGGAGAAAAACGUUAAAAGACCUGAAAAUCCAGGCACAAUUGGGCAUGCUUUUAAUCCCAGUGGCUAGGGAGACUGAGACAGGAGGAUUGCAAAUUCUAAGUCAGCCUCAGCAACUUAGCAAGGCCCUGGUCUCAAAAAAUAAAUAAAAUAAGCUUGGGAUAUAACUCAGUGGUAAAGCACCUCUGGUUUUCAAUCCCCAAUAAUCCCUCCCAAAAAAAAAGAAUACCUGAAGAAACAUUUAUCAAAAGAAACAUAGAUGGGCUAGGGUUGUGCCUAGUGGUGAAGCGCUUGCCUAGCAUGUGUGAGGCACUGGGUUCAAUUCUCAGCACUGCAUAUAAAUAAAUAAAAUAAAGGUCCUUUGACAAUCUAAAAAAAAAGAAAAAUACAGAUGGCCUAUAUGUAUAUGAAAAAGUAUUCAGCAUCACUAAUCAUAAAUGUGAUGCAAAUUAAAAUCACAAUGAGAUCUUACCCCAUACCUGUUAGAAUAGCUAUUAUCUAAAAGAUAGUGUUGGUGAGGAUGUGGAAAAAAGGGAAGCCUUGUACAUUGUUGGUGGGAAUGUAAAUUAGGAUAGCCAUUGUGGAAAACAUUAUGAAAAUGCCUCAAGAAACUAAAAAUAGGACUACCACACGAUUCAGUAAUCCCACAAUUGAAUAUAUAUCCAAAAGAAAGGAAGUCAGUAUAUCAAAGAGAUAUCUAUAUUUCUAUGUUUCUUGCAGCAUUAUGUGUAAUACCAAGAUAGAGAUUCAAGCUGAAUGUUCAUCAGAGGAUAAAUAGAUAAAGGAAAUGUGGUGUGUAUAUAUAUAUAUAUAUAUAUAUAUAUAUAUAUAUAUAUAUAUACACACACACACACACACACAUACAAUGGAAUAUUCAGCCAUGAAAAGAAGAAAAUUUUUAUUUAAAACAACAUGGAUGAGGGCUGGGGUUCUGCUCAGUGGUAGAGUGCUUACCUAGCACGUGUGAGGCACUGGGUUCAGUCAGCACCACAUAAAAACAAAAUAAAGAUAUUAUGUCCAUCUACAAUUAAAAAACAAAAAUUUUAAAAAAACAACACAGAUGAACCUAGAACACAUUAAGUUAAGUGAAAUAAACAAGGCACAGAAAAACAAAUGCUUCAUGAUCUCACAUUUGAAAUCUAACAAAUUCAUAGAAAUGAGGGGCUGGAGAGAAAGGGAGGUAUGGGAAGAUGCUGAUCAAAGUGUAUAAAGUUUCAGUUAGGAGGAAUCAAAUUUUAAGAUCUAUUAUACAGAAUGUGACUGAAGUUUAUAAUAUUGUGUUUCAAAAUUGCUAAAAGCAUAAAUGUCAAAUGUUCUUACCAUAAAGAAAUAAUAAGGGCUAGAGUUAUAGCUCAGUUGGUAGAGUGCUUGCCUUGCAAUGCAUAAGGCCCUGGGUUCUAUCCCCAGCACCACAAAAUUUAAAAAAAAGCCAAGAAAUAAUAAGUAUCCAAAGUGAUGGAUAUAUUAGUUAGCUUGUGAUUUAGUCAAUCUAUGAUGUGUAUAUAUAUAUAUAUAUAUCUCAGAACAUCUCAUUUAAUAUUUUUAGUUUUAAAACAUUUACCAUGUUUGCAAUCUACUGUUGAAAUUUAGUUCAGUUUUGUUUUUGCUAUUAGGUAUGCAAGGAAAUUCAGUUCCUUAAUGUUGUAUUAUUGUUUAGCAUUAACUUAAAAACUCAGCUAAUCAGAUAACAAAUGCAUCAAACAUAUUUGAACCCUAUGAUAAAAGUUUCUGAAAUGAAAAAUGAACUUUCAAAGUUCUCAUUUUGGUUUGUUAGAUUUACUUUGAAGUGGGAUCCACCGCCAACCUUAUUUAAUAUGUCUACAUGUAACUUUAGGGUUUACUGAAAGAUUUUCCACUUAUAAGUACUGUUAAAAAGGUUAUUUUAGGGGCUGGGAUUGUGGCUCAGCAGUAGAGCACUCACCUAGCACGUGCAAGGCACUGGGUUUGAGCCUCAGCACCAUGUAAAAAUAAAUAAAAUAAAGGUAUUGUGUCCAACUGCAACUAAAAAAAUAUUUUAAAAAAAGGUUAUUUUAUGUAGGCAUUUGAAUGGGCUUUUUCUGGGAAAAAUUAUAGACUCUAACAUAUUAAAAGGAAAUUUUUAAUUUGCCUUAUUCAGCAUCUACAGAAUAUUUGAAGAAAUAUUUUUCAAGUUGACUAGAGGUAGUAAGUAAAACUUCUGAAUGUGUGUGUCUGUUUGGUUAUGUCUAUGUUUUAUAUACUACAUCUCAAAUUUAGGGGAACCAGACAGUAUAAAUUUAGAUCAUUAAUCUUGGUGUAAAUUAUAUCUUUACUCCGUAACUAACAAAGGUUCUUAAGAUAAAAUUUCCUAAAAUUACAUAAACUCUACAAACCCUUGCAUAAGAUCUUGCAGCUAAUUGGUGGGAGAGCCAAGAGUAGAAUUUAAUUUUCUUGACGUCUAGUGCCUCAUUUCUCCUUCCCACACCAAACUUGACCUGAAUGGUUGUUUUCUUCAGACACAUAAAUACUCUGAACUAGUAUGAUUUUAUCUUUGCCUUGAAAAUAGUUACCAAGCCACAGAGAAGUUGAAUUGUCUAGAAAUACAGAAGAUGGUUAACAACUCAUUUAGCUGGCAGCCACUUCUUUGGUAGUGACAAUUCUCAAAUACAGCCAAAUGCUUAAAAAAAUAAAAAGCAUAUUGAAAACCUCUCAAUGAUCAAAAGAAGUGCCACAAAGCCCAUAAUAAGGUCAUGUACAUAAAGUCUCCUGGAGAGACUCCCCAAAUCCCUAUUCUUUCUUUACCAUAUAUUUUUAAAAAUCUGGCUUCCUGGGCUGGGGCUGUAGCUCAUUGGUAGAGUGCGUGCCUCACACAUGUGGGGCACUGGGUUCGAUCCUCAGCACCACAUAAAAUUAAAUUAAGAUAUUGUGACCAACUACAACUAAAAAUAUAUAUAUAUUAAAAACAAUCUGGCCUCCCAGUUCAAUACAGGUUAGAAACAAAAAUUAAAACGGGGAAGAAAGCUUUUAAAGGUAGGCACCUGGCCAAUUAUAAGAAGUGACUACUUAAACUGAGGAAGGAAACACAAAACUCUAAGACAUUCCAAACAUAGUAGCCUGGGGUACUUUGGUGUGAACACAAAUAAAUUCCCUGCAUUUUAGAGUUUUAGAGUCCCAGAAGGGCAUUAUUGUAUUAAUAUAUUAUGAAUGAGUGUAAUAAUUAAAGAAGAAAGAGAAAUUUGUAUAUCCUUUGUUUGGGAAGAUAUUUUGAAGGGAUAGUUUAUUGAAACUGUAAGACCAAGCCUAUUCAUAUACAUGUACUUAUUUUUUUUAAAAAAUUGUAUUUGUAGAUGGACAGCAUGCCUGUAUUUUAUUUGUUUAUUUUUAUGUGGUGCUGAGGAACCAACCCAAUGUCUCACACAUGCGAGGCAAGUGCUCUGCCACUGAGCUACAGCCCCAAACCUACAUGUACUUAUUUAUAAUCUGCUUUUGAAAGUUUUUACUUAAAAAUAGUUAAAAGGAAAUGAUUAUGAGCUGAGUGUGGUGGUGCACACAUGUAAUCUCAGUGACUUGGGAAGCUGAGGGAGGAAGGUUGCAAGUUUGAAGCCAGCCUAGGCAAUUUACUGACACCCUAUCUCAAAAAAAGAAAUAAAAGAUUAGGGAUGUAACUCAGUGGUAAAGUACCCCUGGAUUCAAUCUCUAGUAACACAAAGAUCCUAGUUAUAAAAAUUUUGUUAAUGUGCUAUUAUUUGAGUUGGACUAAACUGAUUAAGUCAAAGGCUUUUGAAUCCUGACCUGUUUUUAACAACUACAGUUAAUGCCUGACUUGGCCAGGAAAUGAACUAAUGAAUUGUUCCAUAUGUAAAAUUUCUAGAGAAAUGGAACUUUCCUUUGAGUGCCAAACUUUUGAUAAGAAAGGAAGCAAUAUUAUAAAGUGAUUGAAACAGUGGGCCCUGGAGUACAUACAUAAGGUCAUUCCAGCCCUACUAUUUACUAACUAUGCAGUUUAAAUGAUUGUUUCUGACCUAAGUCAGAUUUUUGUUAUGUGACAUAGGGGAAAGUAAUAUAACUACCAAAUAGGGGUCAUGAAGACCAAAGCCAGUUAAAAUGUUAACAUAGUUUGGGGCACAUAUUUUAAAGGAUAGUCAUUGUUUUAUUAUUACUUACAAGGCCCCUUUUAAGAAAACUUCUAAUCGGGAUAUUACAUAAUUAGUGCUUUUUGUGGUGAAACAAAUUAUUCUUUUCUCAUCUUUGCACACGACACAAAUCAUUUUAGCCAACUUUAAAAAUUAUAAAUAUUUUGCUUUUUUACUAGGUGUUGAUGUUAUAUAUGUGGGUCAAAAAUUUGAUCACAAAAGAAUUCUAGUCUUACAGACUACCCUGGUAACAAAGUUCUAGGUUUAAUAGAUUGGAACAAUCCAAGACCUUAACAACUUUAUAAUACUUAAAAUAUGCUUCAAACGUGAAUGUCUUUGUUACCAGUUCUUGGUUUAAUGACAACACCAGUUGCAAGCAAAAUCCCAUUUUAAUCAUUAGCUCAAUAUAAUAUUAUUAGGUAGAAGUUCAGUGUCACCAAGAUGGCAGAGGCAAGGUACAAGAAAAAUGCUACUAGAGGUUAGGACAGGGAGAUAAGUCAUCAUGUCCCUGUUUAUGAUAAGUCCAGUUACCAUAACAACUCCCGCCACAGGUUCAGUAUUCUAAAAUAACCAAUGGAGGUAAAGUGGACAGUAUUCUAUUUAGGUUUUCUAAGAUAACUAAUGGGAACAAAUGGAGUACGGUCUUCAGUCAGGUCCAUAUAAGGAAGAGAAUGCCAUAUAGCUCAGCAUAUAAGACACUAAUUUCCAGACAUAGAUCCUUGAACCACUCUUUCUUGUUCAGCCCACUCCAUUCUAUCUUCGGAAUGCUACUUUCAGCUUCACUGUCAAUAAAUCUGUACUUCACCUGUUACUUGUGUGUGUCUUACUCAGUUCUUUGUUUGGGACACCAAAGACCUGGAUCCCAACUAGACACCCCAAUGAUAACAAUCUGGCUUUUUCCUUAUGUUCUCUGUUGUUAAGGCUGUAGGGUACCUUUUCUGUAUUCCAUUGACUGAUCUUAGGCUCCUCGGUACUGACAGACUGCCAAGGUACCUUUGAGAAACAUGUAGCAUUUCAAAGCUGCUGAAGAAAUUACUGCUUAGGGUGUGGGCCCCAGAUAUUCUCACUGAAUCCUCAUAUCAGUCCUGAAUAGAUGGUUUUAUCCCUUUUUACACAGGAUGAGACAGGGACUUAGAGAAGCUGAAACUAUUUGAUCACACAUAGGAUAAAUGGCAGAAAUGAUAAUUCGAGCAAGGUUCGUCUUCUCUAAAGCCUGUUUUCACUGUGUCCCUUGUCUCUGAAAAGGAAGUAAUUCCUUUGCAUAAUCUGAAAUAUCUCUAUAUGUGUUGAGAAUUGGCCAAUAACAGAUUCUGUGAAUAAAUAGCUGGAAAGUGCUCUUUAUGAGCUGUGUGAUAGAGUAAAAGGGAUAAAACCAUUUACUCAAGGUCUUGAAGGUGCCUUUCAACUCAAAGUUGUACCAUCUGGUAUCAUUGUAGCUUAUUUUUUAAAAACUUAGAAAUGAAAUGGCAUGUUAAUUAUUUAAAAUUGUAUUAUUAUAUGUGUCUUUCUCCCUUGUGCUUUGAAGCAGAUAUCAGACUGUUCUUAUUUGGAAAAGAAUGUGAGGGAUGAAAAUAAUUGGUGAAAAGUUACUUUUUAAAAUUGCUAUAUCUAGAGUAGUCUAUGUUUAAGAAUAAAAUUUUACUCCAGUAUAAAAAAUGAGCUGAGAAGAAAAAUGAUUAUCUUCAAAAGCAACUGUAACUAUCUAAUUGCACAUGAAAAUUUUCAACACUAGAAAUCAAAGAAGUGUAAAUUAAAACAAUGAUGAGAUAUACUUUUGCCUGUCAAAUAGGUGAAAAAAUUUUAAAACAUUCAUUUUUGACAGAGGUGUUAACAAUAAUUUAUAAAGCAGUGGGAGUAUAAAUUGAUACUGCUGUUUUGGAUGGCAAUUUGAAAAUUUCUCAAAAUUCUGAAAAGUUUGUGUAUUUUUGGCCUAUAGUUCCACUGUUAGACAAGUUUACUUUAAGGAAAUUUAUCAUGGAGUUGAAAUUUAUUUACGGGGAUGCUUGCCAUAUAUAUAUAUAUAUAUAUAUAUAUAUAUAUAUAUAUAUAUAUAUAUAUAUAUUUGAAUAUAUGUAUAUGCUUGCUAUGUAUAUACACACACACACACACACAUAUAUAUUUGAACACCAUAUGUAUGUGUUUGUGUGUAUGUUUGUUUAUACAUAUAUAUAUAGUGUUACAUACAUAUAUAUUUUAUAUUUAUAGUGUUCAAAUCUCUAGGUCAUAAGAUUAUAAAUCAUCUUAAUUUUAUUCUGAUUUUUGACAUUUUCAUAUUCUCUAUAUGCAGGCAAGAAUUUUCAGUCACAAAAUACAUGUUUAUUAAAAUGCAAGUUUGGCUUUAACAGUGUAUAAAAGUAGUUUAUCUUUUCUAUUCAGCACCUCAUUGUUUUGUUUUUUUUUUUUAAUUUCUGAACAGGUCUCCAGGAAAAGUUGGGCUUUCAUCAUUCAAGGUCAGUGUGCUUUCUUAAAGAUGU